GAAGUGUUUGAAAAGGAGCAGUCCAUCUGCGCUGCUGAGGAACAGCCCGCAGAAGACGGGCAGAGUGAUGCCAACAAGAACAAGGCAAAAGGAGGAUGGCAGCAGAAGAACAAAGGACCCAAGAAAAUGCCCAAAUCCAAAAAAAAGAAGCCUUUAAAAAAAAAACCCACAACUGUGCCCUUACCUCAGGGAAAGCAGCAGAAGCAAAAGCAGGCAAAUGGAGUUGUUGGGAGUGAAGCUGCAAUGAAGGAGGAGGAGGAGGACAUUUCUGACAAAGGCAGCGACUCUGAAGAGGAGGAGACCAAUAGAGACUCGCAGAGCGAGAAGGACGAUGGCAGUGACAGAGACUCUGACAGAGAGCAGGAUGAGAAGCAAAGCAAAGACGACGAAGCAGAGUGGCAAGAGCUACAGCAAAGUAUACAGAGGAAGGAGAGAGCUCUUUUGGAGACCAAGUCGAAGAUAACACACCCUGUGUAUAGUCUUUACUUUCCCGAGGAAAAACAAGAGUGGUGGUGGCUUUACAUUGCAGAUAAGAAAGAGCAAACAUUAAUAUCUAUGCCGUAUCAUGUGUGCACACUGAAGGACACAGAAGAGGUAGAGCUGAAGUUCCCUGCACCUGGCAGGCCUGGGAAUCACCAGUACACAGUGUUUCUGCGGUCGGACUCCUACAUGGGCCUGGACCAGACUAAACCACUGAAGUUGGAAGUUCAUGAGGCCAAGCCCGUGCCAGAAAACCACCCACAGUGGGACACAGCAAUAGAAGGUGACGAAGACCAGGAAGACAGUGAAGGAUUUGAAGACAGCUUUGAGGAAGAGGAGGAGGAAGAGGAGGGUGGUGACUAAGCCGUGUGAGUGGACCACAGCAUUUGCACGUCCUGCAAACACCUGCUGCUUUGUAAGUGACGAUCAAGCAGAAGCAGCAGAGAACUGGUGGGGAGGGAAGUGUUGGCGUCUUUACUGGAAACGGAUGCGAAAAAUAGGCCAUUGGUGCCAGGUACAAUCUGAAAGGGGUUUAAAGCCUUUCUCAGGUGUGGGGUGGUGCGUUGAUCUCACUACAAAUGAUAAUAAAUCUUUGAUGUUACAACUGUCGGAAGUGUGGGCUGUGCGUUACCUGGUGGAUCAUGCUCACAGUAAGUCAAGGUGCACGAGGACUCUCUCUCUCCUUGUUGAGCUUUAGUUUUAGUAAACAUUAAAUAUGAUAAACAUCACAAAUAUGUUUUAAGUAAUGUCUGCUCAAGUUUCUAAUCUGUUAGAUGCUCUUGUUCAUUUAUCAAUACUUUACAAGUGCUAAGAUUGUAACAGUUCAUGUGAGCUGAAACCUUAAUUUUCAUCUAUCUUGGCCAUCACUUAACAUUCUCACACAUUCCACAUAAUACAGAGGGCUACAUUUUAGAAUUUUCCGUUCU
rnacentral:lncRNA from 1 species